UACUGAAGGUGCAAGCGUUAAUCGGAAUCACUGGGCGUAAAGCGCUCGUAGGUGGCUUUGUAAGUCAGAUGUGAAAGCCCACGGCUCAACCGUGGAAUUGCAUUUGAUACUGCAUCGCUAGAGUAUAGGAGAGGGAAGUGGAAUUUCUGGUGUAGGAGUGAAAUCCGUAGAGAUCAGAAGGAACACCGGUGGCGAAGGCG
rnacentral:rRNA from 1 species